UCCUCCUUAGCUCAGUUGGUUAGAGCAUCUGACUGUUAAUCAGAGGGCCGCUGGUUCGAGCCCAGCAGGAGGAGC
rnacentral:tRNA from 1 species